CACCAUUCUGGUUUAUUUCCACCCCCAAAAAGUCAGCUGUUUUGGAGCAUGCAUUGCGAGUUCUUUUCGUUUAUUAAGUAGAUCCGGAGGGCGGCCAAAAAUAAACAACUUUCCAAUUCAAUUAAAAAGUUGUUUGAAGAUGACUAUUUUAACAAGAAUUAUCGUUUCCAAUUUGCCUCAACGCAUUGGUGCACUUAAAACACUUCAGCAAAGUGGCUACUGCACGCAUAUUAAAUUCGCUGAACAUAAGCCAAUAGAGAAAAUACGGAAUAUUGGUAUUUCGGCACAUAUUGACAGCGGCAAAACUACGCUCACCGAACGCAUUCUCUUCUACACCGGCCGUAUUGCUCAAAUGCAUGAGGUACGCGGCAAGGACAAUGUUGGUGCUACUAUGGAUUCAAUGGAAUUGGAGCGACAGCGCGGUAUAACUAUACAAUCUGCAGCCACUUAUACGAUUUGGAAGGAUACCAAUAUUAAUAUCAUUGACACACCCGGUCACGUGGAUUUCACAGUGGAAGUAGAACGUGCAUUACGUGUUUUAGAUGGCGCUGUGCUUGUACUCUGCGCUGUGGGUGGUGUACAAAGUCAAACAUUAACUGUAAACAGGCAAAUGAAACGUUAUAAUGUGCCUUGCUUGGCUUUCAUCAAUAAGCUGGAUCGCACAGGUGCAAACCCUUAUCGUGUGCUGUCGCAUAUGCGUUCAAAGAUGAAUCACAAUGCAGCUUUCAUACAAUUGCCAAUUGGUGUGGAGAGUGAUUGCAGGGGUAUUGUAGAUUUGGUGACUGAGAAGGCCAUUUAUUUCGAAGGCACACAUGGCAUGGAACUACGUUAUGAUGAGAUACCUCAGGACAUGCGCGCAGAGUCAGUCGAACGCCGCCAGGAGCUAAUUGAACAUCUUUCAAACGUAGACGAAACACUGGGCGAACUGUUCCUAGAGGAAAAGACACCAACGGAGGAUGAUAUAAAGAACGCCAUACGCCGUACUUGCAUCAAGCGCACGUUUACCCCUGUCAUGGUGGGCACUGCACUGAAAAAUAAAGGUGUCCAACCCUUAUUGGAUGCGGUUAUCGAGUACAUGCCUAAUCCAGGCCAGGUAGAGAAUGUCGCUUUCAUUGAAAAGGAAGGACAAGACCCUGAGAAAAUUGUACUCAAUCCUGCACGCGAUGGUAAAGCUCCAUUUAUCAGUCUGGCAUUCAAGUUAGAAGCUGGGCGCUUUGGACAGCUCACCUAUUUGCGUUGCUAUCAGGGUAUGUUGCAAAAGGGUGACAACAUCUUCAAUGCGCGUACAAAUAAGAAGGUGCGUGUUGCGCGUCUCGUGCGUUUGCACUCGAAUAAUAUGGAGGAUGUUAAUGAAGUUUACGCUGGAGAUAUUUUUGCACUCUUUGGUGUUGAUUGCGCUUCAGGAGAUACCUUCACCACAGAUCCUAAGGGAAACAUUUCAAUGGAGUCUAUUUUCGUACCAGAACCAGUUGUGUCCAUGGCAAUUAAGCCCAAUAAUGCUAAGGACAGGGAUAAUUUCGCAAAGGCAGUGGCGCGUUUCACUAAAGAAGACCCCACCUUCCAUUUCUUCUUUGAUGCUGAUGUGAAAGAAACGCUCGUUUCUGGAAUGGGUGAAUUACAUUUGGAAAUAUAUGCUCAACGUAUGGAGCGUGAAUAUGGCUGCCCCGUCACAUUGGGUAAACCCAAGGUUGCUUUCCGUGAAACACUCGUUAGUCCUUGUGAAUUUGACUACCUGCACAAGAAACAGUCAGGCGGUUCGGGUCAGUAUGCGCGCAUUAUUGGCGUCCUGGAGCCACUGCCACCAGAUCAAAACACACUGCUCGAGUUUGUCGAUGAUACUAUGGGUACAAAUGUGCCCAAACAAUUUGUGCCCGGUGUGGAGAAGGGCUUCCGAGAAAUGGCUGAACGCGGCAUGCUCUCUGGACACCGACUAUCUGGUGUACGUUUCCGCCUAAUCGAUGGAGGACAUCACAUUGUGGAUUCCAGCGAAUUGGCUUUCAUGUUGGCAGCGCAUGGUGCAGUGAAAGAAGUGUUCCAAAUGGGUUCUUGGCAAAUUUUAGAACCUAUAAUGAUGGUAGAGGUUACCGCGCCAGAGGAAUUCCAAGGAGCAGUUAUGGGACAGUUGAGUAAACGUCAUGGCAUUAUUACGGGCACCGAUGGUGCAGAGGGUUGGUUCACUGUGUACGCAGAAGUGCCAUUGAACGACAUGUUCGGCUAUGCUGGAGAAUUGCGUUCAAGCACUCAAGGCAAAGGUGAGUUUACAAUGGAAUAUUCACGUUACUCCCCUUGUCUGCCAGAUGUGCAGGAACAAUUGGUGCGUCAAUAUCAGGAAUCGCAAGGAUUAGGACAGGAGAAGAAGAAAAAGAAAAACUGAAAAGGUGUAGCCAUAAUCGACAUUCAAUACUAAUUUAUUUAAGGACUACAUACGAGUACUCCAUUUUUUUUUCGAAAUGUAAUAAAAAGUGACAGCAAUAAGCCACAGAUAUGAGGCUGAAGACCACUAAAAAGGUUAUUGUUUAAAAUUACUUCGUUUAUUGCAAAAAUACAGCACUACCAGUUCGAUUAUGGAGAUCGAGGAAUGGAUAGUUGGUACUACCCAAAAACAACCGGAUAAUUUGAGUUAAUCUUGGCAGCACCAAGAGAAAUGCCUG